UACGGGAUAAUAUAUUUGAGAGGCAUCUCUUGAAUAUCAAAGGUGAGCCAGUACAGGAUGGACCCGCGUCUGAUUAGCUAGUUGGUAAGGUAACGGCUUACCAAGGCGACGAUCAGUAGCCGACCUGAGAGGGUGAUCGGCCACAUUGGAACUGAGACACGGUCCAAACUCCUACGGGAGGCAGCAGUGGGGAAUAUUGCACAAUGGGCGAAAGCCUGAUGCAGCAACGCCGCG
rnacentral:rRNA from 1 species